AGGAUCAUUACCAUACAAUGAAGGUACAAGGGCUGUCGCUGACCUUCCAAAAGGUUGUGCACGCCUGAGUGCUCUCACACAUCCACCGCGUGGGAGGUCCCCUGAAAGGGGGAUGCCCACGUUUUUUUUCACACAAACCUCAAACAUAGUUUAGAAUGUGUCUUUUUUGCGAUGAUACGCAAUCAAUACAACUUUCAACAACGGAUCUCUUGGCUCUCGCAUCGAUGAAGAACGCAGCGAAAUGCGAUACGUAAUGUGAAUUGCAGAAUUCAGUGAAUCAUCGAAUCUUUGAACGCACCUUGCGCCCCUUGGCAUUCCGAGGGGCACACCCGUUUGAGUGUCGUGAAAUUCUCAAAAUCCUUUUCUUUGAAAGGAUUUUGGACUUGGAGGAUCAAUGCUCACUCUCACCUUUUUUUGAAAGAGAGCUCCUCUUAAAUGAAUUAGCGGGGUUUGCUUUGCUGAUCCUUGACGUGAUAAGGUGAUUCUACGUUUUGGAUUUUGGCACUGUCCCUUUAAACACCUGCUCCUUAACCGUCUUAUGGACAAAUGGUGGUGUUUCUGGUCACCGCUGCCUAUGUUGGCACGCGAGGCUGGUCCCACAAGAAAAACCUUGACCUCAAAUCGGGUGAGACUACCCGCUGAACUUAAGCAUAUCAAUAAGCGGAGGAAAAGAAACUAACAAGGAUUCCCCUAGUAACUGCGAGUGAGAGCGGGAAAAGCUCAAAUUUAAAAUCUGGUGG
rnacentral:rRNA from 1 species